rnacentral:rRNA from 1 species
ACCCGCUGAACUUAAGCAUAUCAGUAAGCGGAGGAAAAGAAACUAACGAGGAUUCCCUUAGUAACGGCGAGUGAACGGGGAAAAGCCCAGCGCUAAAUUUCGUUGCUCAAACGGGUGAUGAGAGGUGUAGCGUAUAGGAGGCGAGUUCUCCUUGAUGGCUGUCGACUUAAAUUCUCCUUGACUGGGGUUCCAGAGAAGGUGAAAGGCCUGUUCAGUCGAUGGCCACCGAGGAUUCCGCUUUCCUUGGAGUCGGGUUGUUUGGGAACGCAGCCCAAAUUGGGUGGUAAACUUCAUCUAAGGCUAAAUACGGCCACGAAACCGAUAGCAAACAAGUACCGUGAGGGAAAGUUGAAAAGUACUUUGAAGGGAGAGUUCAAGAGGACGUGAAACCGGUAGGAUGGAAACGGAUAGAGCCAAUGAACAAGCCCGUAUUCAGCUAGUCGGCUGCGUGCGGCCUAGCCAACACUCCCCGAUUGGGGGUUUGGUUGGGUGCGGUAUGCGGUUGGCUAGUGCAUUUGCGGGUGAUGUGCGCUGAGGCGUGUGAUGAAGCCCUUCGAACCGUCUUUAGAGGCCUUAGCUUCGGCUUUGAAACCUGAAGGCGGGUAGGAGUGGUUUUUGUUGCACGUA